CGCGCCGCGGACGCCCGACUGGUGCCCGCCGAGCCCAACUGCCGCCCGUACCGGUGUCCUCGGCGCGCGCAGCCGCCGCAGCCGCAGCCGCAGCGCGGGCCACAGAGAAGAGCCCCGGGGCUCCGGACGGACGGACAGGUGGAGCUCCACGGCCGCUCCUGCGAUGCUGGCGCAGCUCACCUUUGAAGCCAGAGAACUGAAGUCAGGAAACGCUUGACCCCGGGAUCCAAUACCCAGCCCACGCAGGCGGCGUCCUCGGUUGUCGUGGCGGACAAGUGAAGGGGCUGCAGAUGGGAAGUCAUCCCACAAGCGAUGGGAUCGUAAAUGAUGGAGUCGGUACUCUCACACAUUAACAUGCCGGAAGUGUUGGGUUGAGAAUUUCUGCAUGAAGAAAAAAGUUGCAAGAAGCUGGGAAGAUGAGUAAGAAGGCAAAGGCACCACUUACCUAGUAGACCUGAGGGCCUGAAUUCAGCAUCUAUCUGAGUGGCAAGUAAAAGGCCAGAAUUUGACAAGCUUUUGUAAUCCCUGAACUCCUGCAAGGAAAUGGGAGGUGGAAACAGGAGACUUGAGUAGAAGCGCUUGGACCAGUUAGCCUGGAAUGUGCAGCUGUGCCUGUGAGAGACCCUACCUCACCCAGGUGGAAGGUGAGAGCUGCCCGCUGCCCACAGCUAUGGCCUGAGUGCCCACAUUUGCACACACAAAAUAAUAAAAAAGAAAGAUGAUGCCUGGCGUGGGUGGUGCACGCCUUUAAUCCCAGCACUCGGGAGGCAGAGGCAGGUGGAUCUCUGUGAGUUCAAGGCCACCCUGGUCUACAGAGCGAGUUCCAGGACAGGUUCCAAAGCAAUACAGAGAAACCCUGUCUUUAAAAAACAAAAAGAGAAAAAGAUAAGUGUGGUACUCGCUCUGUAAUUCUAGGGGUCGGGUGGCUGAGGUGGAAGGACAGUCUUCAAUCCUAACUCCAAAAGCCAAAAGGAUAGAAAAAAGCGUAUGUUUUUGUUGUUGUUUGUAAACUGAGUUAUUUCAAAGUCUGUUCCCCAUCCAUUUAUAUGUAAAUAAAGCAGUUACUACUUGCAACAAA